rnacentral:rRNA from 1 species
UGCAGUCGAGCGAAUCGAUGGGAGCUUGCUCCCUGAGAUUAGCGGCGGACGGGUGAGUAACACGUGGGCAACCUGCCUAUAAGACUGGGAUAACUUCGGGAAACCGGAGCUAAUACCGGAUACGUUCUUUUCUCGCAUGAGAGAAGAUGGAAAGACGGUUUACGCUGUCACUUAUAGAUGGGCCCGCGGCGCAUUAGCUAGUUGGUGAGGUAAUGGCUCACCAAGGCGACGAUGCGUAGCCGACCUGAGAGGGUGAUCGGCCACACUGGGACUGAGACACGGCCCAGACUCCUACGGGAGGCAGCAGUAGGGAAUCUUCCGCAAUGGACGAAAGUCUGACGGAGCAACGCCGCGUGAACGAAGAAGGCCUUCGGGUCGUAAAGUUCUGUUGUUAGGGAAGAACAAGUACCAGAGUAACUGCUGGUACCUUGACGGUACCUAACCAGAAAGCCACGGCUAACUACGUGCCAGCAGCCGCGGUAAUACGUAGGUGGCAAGCGUUGUCCGGAAUUAUUGGGCGUAAAGCGCGCGCAGGUGGUUCCUUAAGUCUGAUGUGAAAGCCCACGGCUCAACCGUGGAGGGUCAUUGGAAACUGGGGAACUUGAGUGCAGAAGAGGAAAGUGGAAUUCCAAGUGUAGCGGUGAAAUGCGUAGAGAU